rnacentral:rRNA from 1 species
GUGGGGAAUAUUGCACAAUGGGGGAAACCCUGAUGCAGCAACGCCGCGUGAAGGAAGAAGGCCCUUGGGUCGUAAACUUCUGUUCUAAGGGAAGAUAGUGACGGUACCUUAGGAGCAAGUCCCGGCUAACUACGUGCCAGCAGCCGCGGUAAUACGUAGGGGGCGAGCGUUAUCCGGAAUUAUUGGGCGUAAAGAGUACGUAGGUGGUUGUUUAAGCAUAGGGUUUAAGGCAAAGGCUUAACCAUUGUUCGCCUUAUGAACUGGACGACUUGAGUGCUGGAGAGGAAAGCGGAAUUCCUAGUGUAGCGGUGAAAUGCGUAGAUAUUAGGAGGAACACCAGUGGCGAAGGCGGCUUUCUGGACAGUAACUGACACUGAGGUACGAAAGUGUGGGGAGCAAACAGGAUUAGAUACCCGAGUAGUCC